ACGAACGCUGGCGGCGUGCUUAACACAUGCAAGUCGAACGGAAAGGCCCUGCUUUUGUGGGGUGCUCGAGUGGCGAACGGGUGAGUAACACGUGAGUAACCUGCCCUUGACUUUGGGAUAACUUCAGGAAACUGGGGCUAAUACCGGAUAGGAGCUCCUGCUGCAUGGUGGGGGUUGGAAAGUUUCGGCGGUUGGGGAUGGACUCGCGGCUUAUCAGCUUGUUGGUGGGGUAGUGGCUUACCAAGGCUUUGACGGGUAGCCGGCCUGAGAGGGUGACCGGCAAAAGGGGGAAGGAGAAAGGGCCAGAACGCAGGGGGGGGGAAGAGGGGGGAAUUAUGGAAAAAGGGGGGGAGGCCGAAGGAAGAAACGCCGGGGGGGGGAGGAGGGCCUUGGGGUUUAAACCCGUUUGCGCCGGGGAAGAAGGGUGAGGGAGGAAAGGGGAAAAAGAAGAACGGGAAAAAUAGGUG
rnacentral:rRNA from 1 species